UGUUAAGUUGUGAUAAAUAGU
rnacentral:piRNA from 1 species